GACGAACGCUGGCGGCGUGCUUAACACAUGCAAGUCGAACGGAAAGGCCCUGCUUGUGUGGGGUGCUCGAGUGGCGCACGGGUGAGUAACACGUGAGUAACCUGCCCUUGACUUUGGGAUAACUUCAGGAGACUGGGGCUAAUACCGGAUAGGUGCUGCUGCUGCAUGGUGGGGGUUGGACAGUUUCGGCGGUUGUGGAUGGACUCGCGGUUUAUCAGCUUGUUGGUGGGGUAGUGGCUUACCAAGGCUUCGACGGGUAGCCGGCCUGAGAGGGGGACCGGCCACAUGAGGACUAAGGGACGGCCCAGACUCCAACGUGGGGCAGCAGGGGGAAAUAUUGCACAAUGGUGGGAAGCCUGAGGCAGCGGCGCCCCGUGCGUGAUGACCGCCAUCUUGGUGUAAACCGCUGUCGCCUGUGACGAAGCUGGAGUGACGUUAAUAGGUAAAGAAGCACCGGCUAACUACGUG
rnacentral:rRNA from 1 species